rnacentral:tRNA from 1 species
UCAUGGCUCAAGGGUACGAGCGUAGGGCUGUAAACGCCACAGGUUGUGGGUUCGAUCCCCACUAGAGAA